rnacentral:rRNA from 1 species
GAUGAACGCUGGCGGCGUGCUUAACACAUGCAAGUCGAACGGAAAGGCCCAAGCUUGCUUGGGUGCUCGAGUGGCGAACGGGUGAGUAACACGUGGGUGAUCUGCCCUGCACUUUGGGAUAAGCCUGGGAAACUGGGUCUAAUACCGGAUAGGACCAUCGUUUAGUGUCGGUGGUGGACAGUUUUUCGGUGUGGGAUGAGCUCGCGGCCUAUCAGCUUGUUGGUGGGGUAAUGGCCUACCAAGGCGUCGACGGGUAGCCGGCCUGAGAGGGUGUACGGCCACAUUGGGACUGAGAUACGGCCCAGACUCCUACGGGAGGCAGCAGUGGGGAAUAUUGCACAAUGGGCGCAAGCCUGAUGCAGCGACGCCGCGUGGGGGAUGACGGCCUUCGGGUUGUAAACUCCUUUCGCCAAGGACGAAGCGUUUUGUGACGGUACUUGGAGAAGAAGCACCGGCUAACUACGUG